CCUAUAUAAUAGAGAGAGUAGAGUUCAGAGAAUGAAGGGGAGACACACUCAUUUAUCUGUUAAAGUUAAGCUUUAUCUGCUGGACUCUUCAGAAUUUGCAGUCUGAAAAGACCACACUGACGUCAACUCAAGUUCUAAGACUCCUGAACUAACUUCCUUCCUUUGAGUCCUGCAUUUAAAACACUUGUUAUUUCACCCAUUCCCCAAAGUCAAAUCUGAUCCCAAGUUGCUGCUAACUCUUGAAAGCAGCAUAAUACAGGGAGAGCGAUUUUCAGGAAUAUUGUUCCCUCUUAAAGGCCCAGCUUUCAGAACUCUAUGGAUAUUCCUAUAGGAACUGAGGUGUGGAUCAGACCUGUCAGCAGCUAAAUGUCAGAGAAAGUUGUGGGCACAUUUUAAUAUAUAUGCAUGCAGAACACAAACAUUCCUAUUGGAUUAAUUUUACCUCAUCGUUGAGCCAGUGAUGGUUCCUCAGUGUCUGGAUAUCCCCACGGGUGACCUUUAAUUUAAAGGCGCUGCUCAAGAUCUCAUCCUCCUGGCCAUGGCCUAAUGCAUUAGUGAUUUCUCUUUCCAUGUCCUGAAAUGAGCAAUUCCACAAUGUGACUAGUGAGAAAGUCCUGAACUAGGGUGUAUGUUGAGCAGGCCAACUGGUGCAUCACACUAAGGAUUUAAGGGAAAUCCAGUAGAGGAUUAAGCCUGCUAAAAGGAGGAAGAGCUUGACCAUACAGUGACACUGGGAGGCCAAGGAUACCAGUGUUCGUUUCAGAGCAGAGGAUGGUUAGCUUUGGUAGCUUUUUCUGUUAAGUUUGUACAUGAAGCCUAAGGUACUACACACAGAUGCCUGCACUUCAUGCUAUUUACUUGGAUGGUUACACUUUUAAGCUAUUUUAAGUGGCGCUUCAGUCAUUUUGAUUUAUCAGAUUACCCCAGCUCAGAACCAUGGAUAUGUUUACACUGGCUCUGGUUUGGAAGUUCAGUCAUUUUCUUAAGGAUUAUAAGGGAUAAUGGGAGUUUAAGAGGCUUGAGAGAAUUCAAUAAACACUAAAACCAGUAUUGCAAAUGUUUCACAGUCAAUCAGUGUAGUUCAGUCAGAAUAAGAGAUAGGUAUCAUGCAGAAAUAGAAAAACACAAAACAUGCACGUCAGCAGACAGAGCACAGCUGAAGAAAGGACAAUAAAAAAAAAGUAAAGUUUCAAAGAGAAAACCACCCGUCCCCCAUGCAAUAUUGUGGCCCUUGUGAUCCUCAGUCAGCCAGCUAACCAUCACUCGGUUUAACUGGAAUGGGGCUGAUAGCAGAGCAUUCUCGGCUCAAACUCAUUUCUCACCUUUAGUUUACAAGAGAGUCUAGAUUUGUGGUGUCCCAAAGGUCACCACGAGACUAACCUAAUUCUCCCAGACAUAUCUGAAUGGGAAUGAAAGGGAACAUUAUAGUGGGCUGUAUUGGAGGCCACGUUGACAGUCAGGAAGUCUGUAUUUUGUAUCUGAUCAUACACACUGUUAGAGCUGUCAUGGAUGCAAAGAGAAGUCUAAGUAAUGUUUAGUUUCAUUGCUGGUAGAAGAUGGAUUUUGAUCUGUGGACCAAAAAUAAAUAAAUUCUAUUUUUGAUUGAGCUGAACUAACAAACAAGGAAAAUGCCCUUGUCUCUUCUAUUGUAGCAUCUACCAAGGUAUGCACAGAAAGUAAUCAGGCAGUUUAUAAAGGAAUGAGCAAAAGCAUCCAUUUGUUUUGCUAGCUCCCUGCAAAUCAGAUGUCAGUGGAUUGGCAAGAAUGGCCUGAUUCGAAGUGAUUAGAAGGUACGAAUAGCAGACAAAAUUUACUUUAGAAGAGGCACCUAGAAUCCCUGAUCCCUUUUAAACAUGGUCAGUACAUUAGCUAAUAUCAGGUGGGCACACAAAAAGAACCUGCAAAAAAGCCCAAAUGAUUCCAUCCAUUUUAGUUCAUCUCUCCAAACCAGAAAGCCAAAAAAGGCAUGGUACCUCCGUGAGCUCAGGAAGGCGCUCUGUACUCUUCUCUGGGCCUGGGCACUUCUGUUCUUUCACCACAAGUGCAGUUGGCCUUCUGGCUACAGCAGAGCUCCUACUGCCCAGACAUAACCGAACUGACACCUCCUUUGACAGGUCAGCCUCCAGCCAUCUCUGUUAUACAAAAGGAAGCUCAAUAGCAUUUAAACAGGAAGUUAUGAUUUGUUGCAGUGCAUAAUGUGAGUCUUAUUCAAAUAUCAAAUGAAAGCACUCAGCAAAUACUCCUGACCGUCAGAUUCCAUACUUAUCGAAUUAAACACUCAGUCUAGCUCUCAUUCGGAGUCAGGCGAGGUAUUGCUAGGAUUGAGCACACUUCCAUUAAAUGUGCCAAUUUUCAAAUGCUUUAGACCAGGGGUUCUCACACUUCAUGGCACCACGACUCCCUUCUGACAACAAAAGUUACUAUACGACCCCCGGAAGGGGGACCGAAGCCUGAGCCCACCUGAUCCCUGCCACCUGGAGGGCGGGGGAGGGGAAAGGAGAAGGAGAAGCUGAAGCCCAAGGGCUUCAGCCCCAGGCAGGGGGCCUGCAAUUUCAGCCCCACCGCCCAAGGCUGAAGCCCCAGAUAGUGGGGCUCGGGCUUAGGUUUCGGCCCCAGGCGCCAGCGAAGUCUAAGCCAGCCCUGGCUACCCCAUUAAACAGGGCUGCGACUCACUUUGGGGUCCUGACCUACAGAUUGAGAACCACUGCUUUAGACUAAAAUUAAGUAUCAGGGGGUAGCCAUGUUAGUCUGUAUCUACAAAAACAACAAGGAGUCUGGUGGCACCUUAAAGGCUAACAGAUUUAUUUGGGCAUAAGCUUUCGUGGGUAAAAUCCUCACUUCUUCAGAUGAAGAAGUUGUUAGGAUUUAGUGUUAACCCACUGCAGUUAAGUGGGUGAGAGGAAAGUGUUUCAGGCCACUUUCAGACUCAGGAAGACAAUCACAGAAAUGUAUGAGUGGAAGGGACCUCAAUAGGUCAUUCUAGUCCAGUCCCCUCCUCUGAAGCAGGAUUAAGUAUUCAUCUGACAGGUGUUUGUCUAACCGGUUCUUAAAAACCUCUAAUGAUGGAUAUCACAUUCUCCCUAGGUAAAUUUGUUCUGGUGCUUAACUACCGUUACCUUAAAGUUUGGAAGUUUUUCCUAAUGUCCAACAAAUCUCUCUUGCUGCAAUUUAAGACCAUUACUUCUUGUCCUGUCCUCAAUGGAUACAGAGAACCAUUUAUCACCCUCCUCUUUAUAACAACCUUCUACAUAGUUGAAGAAUAUGUUUCUGUUAUGUCUGCUCUUCUCCAGAUUAAACAAACCAAAUUUUUCCAAUCUUCCCUUGUAGGUCAUGUUUCCUAGACUUUAAUCAUUUUUGUUGCUCGCCUCUGGAGUUUCCACACUUCCCAAAGCAUGGUGCCAAAACUGGACACAGUACUCCGACUGAGGCCUUAUCAGUGCUGAGUACAGCAGAAUUACUUGUGUCUUGCUUACAACACUCCUGAUAAUAUAUUUCAGAAUAAUUGGGUGUUUUUUCACAAAAGUAUUAUGUAGUUGACUCUUAGUUUGUGAUCCCCCAUUACCCUCAAAGCCUUUUCUGCAAUACUUCUUCCUAGGCAGUCGUUUUCCAUUUUGUAUUUGUGCAAUUGAUUAUUCCUUCCUAAGCACAGUACUGUGCAUUUGUCCUAAUUCAAUUUCAUCCUAGACCAUUUCUCUAGUUUGCCAAGAUCAUUUUGAAUUCUAAUCCUGUCCUUCAGAGCACUUCCAACCCCUCCCAACUUGGUAUUGUCUGCAAAUUUUAUAAAAGUGUACUCUCUGCCAUUAUCCAAAUCAUUUAUGAAGAUAAUGAACAGAACUGGACCCAGGAUAGAUCCCUGCAAGAACCCACUCAAUAUGUUCUUCCAGCUUGACUGUGAGCCAUUGGUAACUAUUCAGAGUACAGUUUUUCAACCAGUUGUGCACCCACCUUUAGAAGAUUCAUCUCUAGGCUAUAUUUCUCUAGUUUGUUUAUGAGAAGGUCAUAUGAGACUAUCAAAAGUCUACUACAGUGGAGAUCUAUAGCAACAGUUUAUGUUUGGGAGGUUCUUUGCCACUGUAGAGGGCUACAAAGUUGGUUUGGUU